rnacentral:rRNA from 1 species
AGUGAACGCUGGCGGUAGGCCUAACACAUGCAAGUCGAACGGCAGCACAGGAGAGCUUGCUCUCUGGGUGGCGAGUGGCGGACGGGUGAGGAAUACAUCGGAAUCUACUCUGUCGUGGGGGAUAACGUAGGGAAACUUACGCUAAUACCGCAUACGACCUACGGGUGAAAGUGGGGGACCGCAAGGCCUCACGCGACUGAAUGAGCCGAUGUCGGAUUAGCUAGUUGGCGGGGUAAAAGGCCCACCAAGGCGACGAUCCGUAGCUGGUCUGAGAGGAUGAUCAGCCACACUGGAACUGAGACACGGUCCAGACUCCUACGGGAGGCAGCAGUGGGGAAUAUUGGACAAUGGGCGCAAGCCUGAUCCAGCCAUACCGCGUGAGUGAAGAAGGCCCUCGGGUUUAAAGCUCUUUUGUUGGGAAAGAAAUCCUGUUGGUAAUACCCGGCAGGGAUGACGGUACCCAAAGAAUAAAGCAACCGGCUAACUUCGUGCCAGC